AUUGUAAAUGAUCACGAUCGAAUACAUUGACUUUACCUCUGAAGAAUGGACAAUUUCAGAAGAUGGCAAAUAUUGCAUGUUUGUCAAAAAAAUCCACACGUGGAUGACAUAUCCAGAUUUCUCAGGCUUUAACUACUUUGUAGGAGUCCGCUACCACAUCGACUACUUUGAAGCCACCACUAUGAUAUACUUAUUUUCGGAUAGUUUUCCUGGAGAAAUAAUGUGUUCAGGUGGCCUUUGAUGUAUAAAUUUUGGUACAAAUCGGUUAGUUAUCUUAGUAAGAUAUGGUGCUUAGGGCGACUUUUGCAUAGUGCCACUUUUGGUAGGAGAACUUUUGUAAUGUAACUUUUGUAUAUCUACUAGUCUUUAAUAUACUUUUUACAAUGUAACCAAG
rnacentral:lncRNA from 1 species